UGAAUUGCGAUAAGUAGUGUGAAUUGCAUUUCUGUGAAUCAUCGAAUCUUUGAACGCAUUUUGCGCUUUCUUUUAACGAAGAAAGCAUGUCUGUUUGAGUAUCCUAUAAAUUUGUAAAAGGUGAAGGUUUCAGCAAUGACCUUUGAAAAGCAUGUGUUGACAGUGAGGUAAAAGACGGAUGUUCUUUCCCACUCUAGACAGCCAAUCACAAAGUGAUCUCAAAUCAGACAAGACUACCCGCUGAACUUAA
rnacentral:misc_RNA from 1 species